rnacentral:rRNA from 1 species
UACAGAGGUCCCAAGCGUUGUUCGGAUUCACUGGGCGUAAAGGGUGCGUAGGUGGCGAGGUAAGUCGGAUGUGAAAGCUCGGAGCUCAACUCCGAAAUGGCAUUGGAAACUACCUUGCUAGAGGGUCGAAGGGGGGACUGGAAUUCUUGGUGUAGCAGUGAAAUGCGUAGAUAUCAAGAGGAACACCAGUGGCGAAGGCGAGUCCCUGGACGACUCCUGACACUGAGGCACGAAAGCUAGGGGAGCAAACAGG